AGUGAGGAAUCUUCCACAAUGGACGAAAGUCUGAUGGAGCGACACCGCGUGAAGGAUGAAGGCCUAACGGUUGUAAACUUCUUUUCUGAAGGAGCAUAAUGAGAGUACUUCAGGAAUAAGGGACGGCUAAUUACGUGCCAGCAGCCGCGGUAAUACGUAAGUCCCGAGUGUUACCCGGAAUCAUUGGGUGUAAAGGGUUCGUAGGUGGAAAGAUAAGUUGGAUAUUAAAGACCGAGGCUCAACCUCGUGUUUGUGUUCAAAACUGUCUAUCUAGAAUUAGGGAGAGGUAAGCGGAAUUCUAAGUGUAGGAGUGCAAUCCGUAGAUACUUAGAGGAACACCAAAAGCGAAGGCAGCUUACUGGAACUAUAUUGACGCUGAUGAACGAAAGCGUGGGUAGCGAAAAGGAUUAGAUACCCUUGUAGUCCACGCCCUAAACGAUGAUAACUAAGUGUUGGGACUAGAUCUCAGUGCUGAAGCUAACGCAUUAAGUUAUCCACCUGAGGAGUACGGUCGCAAGAUUAAAACUCAAAGGAAUAGACGGGGACCCACACAAGCAGUGGAUCACGUGGUUUAAUUCGAUAAUAAACGGGGAACCUUACCCAGACUUGACAUCCUAGGAAUUCUUUAGAAAUAGAGGAGUGCUUUUAUUAGAACCUAGUGACAGGUGCUGCAUGGUUGUCGUCAGCUCGUGCCUUGAGGUGUUCGGUUAAGUCCGUUAACGAGCGCAACCCAUAUCUCUAGUUAUUAUGUCUAGAGAGACUGCCUUGGUUAACAAGGAGGAAGGUGUGGAUGACGUCAAAUCAGCAUGGCUUUUACGUCUGGGGCUACACACAUGAUACAAUGGUACAUACAAAGGGCAGCAACAGGGUAACCUAGAGCUAAUCCUAAAAGUGUAUCUUAGUCCGGAUUGGAGUCUGCAACUCGACUCCAUGAAGUUGGAAUUGCUAGUAAUCGUGAAUCAGAUAUGUCACGGUGAAUAUGU
rnacentral:rRNA from 1 species